CCUACGGGUGGCUGCAGUCGAGAAUUUUUCUCAAUGGGGGAAACCCUGAAGGAGCGACGCCGCGUGGAGGAUGAAGGUCUUCGGAUUGUAAACUCCUGUCAUUUGGGAACAAUUGCUACGCGUUAACUGCGCGGAGCUUGAUAGUACCAGAAGAGGAAGAGACGGCUAACUCUGUGCCAGCAGCCGCGGUAAUACAGAGGUCUCAAGCGUUGUUCGGAUUCAUUGGGCGUAAAGGGUGCGUAGGUGGCGAGGUAAGUCUGGUGUGAAAUCUCGGG
rnacentral:rRNA from 1 species